ACUGUCUGGAGAUGUGUCUUCUCACCUGGAGCCCAAGAGCCACGCCCACUGGGCACUCAGCGUCGCUCCCUCACCCCAAUUAUAUUCAAACUUACCGGAAAUCUUAACCUCAUGGCCCAUGAGUGAAAAUGACCAGCUGUCAUGAUGAGCAAAGGCACUGUGCCAAGGGCUUCAGAGAUAUCUACUCAUUUAACCUUCAGAACAAACCAAUGAGAUAUGCCACCACAUCCUACCACGGCAAAAGUCAUACCUGUCCCCGGGUGGAGUCCAGCAUGGAUUUCUGGCCACCUGUACACCUGGAAUUUCCUGAUCUGCAGUCACUAAAUAUUUUCAGUAAAAGCAAUUAUUAUAUGACAAAAUAAAAGGCUUCCUUUUCAUACUUUUGAAAAACAUGAUGAUAAA